rnacentral:misc_RNA from 1 species
GUGAAUCAUCAAAUUUUUGAACGCAAAUUGCACUUUAUGGUAUUCCGGAAAGUAUGCCUGUUUGAGGGUCAGUUAAAUAAAAAUCGGUGUUGUUGCUGCCUUUCGUGGUGACGCGUCGGAAUUGGGUGUCUUACCUUCGGUUUAGUGACUUAAAAUUUUUGCAUGAAUUUUGAACGGUUUUAAAUCGCUUACCUUCGUUUGAGAUUUCG